AGGAUCUUAGUUCCCCAACCAGGGAAUGAACGUGGGCCCAUGGCAGUGAAAGCGUGGAGUCCUAACCACUGGACCGCCAGGGAAUUCCCUCAACACACUCUUAUAAAUUGACGAUGACAAAACUGUGUCAGAGUGGAGCUAGGAUGGAAUCCAGUACUGAUGCUCUUAAGCCACCACAAUCCAAUGGCCAUAAUUCCUGCCCAGGAUCUCUACCAGGUCCUCCCUGCCCAGACUGCUGCCCAGUUCCAAGACUCCUACCUCAACAUAGCCAGACAGGGGGAAAUCUUUCCGGAAAGGAUGUCCCUCAAAACCAUAGUCUGUUAAGAUCCUUCUUAGGUCAGGGUGGUUAGCAAAGAAGACUCCAAACAUGUCCCAAAUCUAGAAAAAAGAGGCACUCAGGCAACCAGCCAUCACAGCCAACACAGGGUGAGGGGCUGCACUGUAUCCAGUAAUUUCAAUCAGUUCUGCAACUCCGGCCCAGAGGUGGGUCCACCACAUCCAGUAACUCACCUCCCUCUCAUACCAGUUGGCUGCCUUGUACACAGACACAGAAGACUCAAUGGGUGUCAGCUCAUCUGUAUAGGUCUUCACACGGAUCCGGGAGUUGAAACGCAGAGAGAGCAAGUUGUAAACAAUCUAGGGAGAAUGGAGGGAGCUGGAGGACCAAGAGGACCACAGGCUGAGGGGUCUGGGACAGAAGUCCCUGAGUGGGAGCAUAAUAAUGAGGAUACAGGGUGGGUUAAAGUUCCACCCUGUGAACCUGCCUUCUGUCCCGAAGUUCAAAACCUCAAGAUGCUCUUAUACUUGCAACUACUUCCAAAGGCCUAAGCCACCCUAUAGCUCAGCCUGUCAGCAUGCUUGUCUUUGCUCAUGCUACUGGAUGCCUCCCGACCUGCCCUCCCUCACUGGGCUCAUUCCUGGUCUCCUAGUUAUCCAUUAAGAUUCAGCACAAACUUUCUCUCUCCCUUCAUAAAAGCCUCCUAGACAGGGCUAAGUGCCUCUCCUGUGUUCUUAUAAUAUCCCAUGAAUUAUGUUAUUACAGUAAACUGUUUUAUGUGUC